CAUUAUCUGCAUAUGGCCUUAUUUUCCUAGGUGCUCAUUAUUAUUCCACUAGAAAUGAAUUUCUACACUUUAAUGUUGGUUAGAAAGCUUAGUUUUUAUCAGCUAACUCACAACAUGGAAGACACUUCUCUGAAUCACUGUGACUAGGGCUAGGGUUUUUUCUCCUGAAACUUGAGGAAGAUCGAGCUCGGGACGGAGGCUACAUUCAAAUCAGUCAAUCCUAUGACUUUCAAAUCCUGUAAGUCUACAUCACCCAUGCUUCAUUUUAUAUACGACACACUGAUUCAUCACAGAAUCAAUCAUAAUACACCAACCAUUGUUCGUUUUUUCGAACCCUAAUCAAUAGCAAACCACUCAAAUUUCACCAAGAACCAAGCUCUCACGAUCUCCUACCUCACAAAGUCAUGUGAGUUGUCUUUUAAUUCUGCUAUCUCAGCUUCUAAAGAAGCUCAACAUUGAGAGCGCAGAGGAAUCGAACUCGGUUCUUGAGCUCCUAAGGUCCCAUGGAUUCACUGAAAAUCACAUUUCAAUCCUAGUUCCUAAACGCCCACAAUUAAUUUUGGCUGAUCCGGAGAAUAUGAGACCCAAAUUUGAGUAUUUUGAAUCUUUGGGUUUUGUCGGACCUGACUUGCAUAGGAUUCUUUGUUCAUAUAAAUAGCAGUUUAGAAAACCGAAUCAAACCCACAUUUGAUUUCCUUAAACGAUACUUAAGGAGCAAUGAGAAUUUAAUCUGUGCUGUUAGGCAAUCUGUCAAUUUCGUGCUGGGCAACGUACAAAAAGUUAUGGUGUCAAACAUUGACACCUUGCGGGCUCAUGGUGUGCCUAAAUCCCAUAUUGAAAAAUUGACCAUGAGGCAGCCUAGAGCCCUAAUGUUAGGAGUUGAUGUGUUUAAAGAGGUUACUGAUGCAGUUAAGGAAACGGGUUUUGAUCCCAGAAGUCAAUCAUACUGAUGUAUCAGAGUGUCGUAUAUGAAAUGAAACAUGGGUGAUAUAGACUUACAGGAUUUGAAAGGGUUGACUGAUUUGAAUGUAGCCUCCGUCCCGAGCUUGUGUUAGAUUACAGCGUAAAGAUAUUCUAACCACGUAUAAGGAGGUAGCUCCAGAGGUACUCAAAGCGUUCAAGGGUGAGAUAGGAUUUCAUGGAUUCUAGGAUUUCAUGGAUUCAAUACUAGAUUGUAGGACAAUGCGGAAUCAGAGAGGCGAGCAACAGCUAGAUGUGAGUUUCUGGCAACAGCAGGGGACUAAAAAAUUGUGUAUGGUGUAUGAGUUUCUAUCAAAAUGAUUUGGCUGCAUAUAAAGUCUACCAUCUAAGAAGUGAUCCUCAAAGAAUUUUUGGUGGCUGAUAAAGUUAAAGAAGGGCCUGGUACGGACGGACGAGGAACAGCUUCAUUGGGUCUAGAAUAUUUGAAUUGAGGAGAAGUGGAAAACAGUCUCAUGGAUCAUCUACGAUUUGGUUUCAACACUGUAAAAUGCUUUUUUUAUGCAAAUAUUCCACAGGGCAUUACCCACUGUAUCUCCUGCUUACACCUGCUUGUUGGUUUUCACAUUUAUUAGUCCAAUUUACCAAGUAAUGACCCCGAUAUUAUCUGUUUUCAUCUCUAAAUAUGAUCAGGUCUUUUGGGUACAACACGUAUAACUCAGCAGUUAUUAUUCUACCUUCAGUUUUGAUUAUGAUAGUAUGAUCAGUUAUUCUUGUGGUAAUAUUCUCUUUUUUCUAGCUCACAAAAUUUGUACCUGAAUUGCAGUGUCCAUGACAUUAGAUGUUGAUAUUUUAUUUUGUGGAUGAACUGACACGGCUUGACUUGACGCUGAAUGUAACACACACACACUGACUGCAAGAGCGCACACAGAGGCACACACUGACUGCAAGAGCGCACACAGAGGCACAACCAUUUAGACAGCCUAAAUCCCUGCCUGCUUCAGAUUUAUAUACUGCUUGGAGGAACAUGAUUGUUUAUUGACAAGGAACUGGGUUAUGUUGGGUUUCCACUAUAUAAUAAUGUCAAGGAAAUGAAGAUUCCAAAAAGAGGAAGUCCAUUUUUGCUAGCUCUUCCUUCCUGAGGUAUGUACCACUCACUCUUAUCAGUAUGUUUGAAUAUUACCUAAUCAUUCCAUGAACUUACAAAGUUGUACGGAGUAGGAUGCUGUAUUCAUAAAUAGUUACAUACUCUUGGACAUAAUGCAACAUGCUCCGGUGCAUAGUUGCAUCUGUAAAAGCAAACAUGCAUGUAACCAUCUAAAGGUUACUCUGGUGAAGGGGGUAUGACUGGUUCAUGUACAUUUUAUUAUUCAGCAAACAUGCAUGUUUUGGGCACAUUUAUUAUUCAGUGCUAAUUAUUUUCAGCCGGGAUUAAAAUUUAAUUAUGGUGAUUUAUCUUAUUCUUGUAGUAAUAUUCUUUUUUUUUUUUUU